AUGGUCUCCUCCUCUCUGCUACUGCUGCUGCUGCUGCUGGCAGCUGUAAACAGAAUUCAGUGCGUAGAGCUGACUCAGCCUGGCUCUAUGGUUGUGAAGCCGGAUCAGACCAUGACUUUGUCCUGUAAGGUCUCUGGUUAUUCACUGACUGAUAGCAGCUACUGUACAAACUGGAUUCGACACCCUGCAGGAAAAGCACUGGAAUGGGUUGGACAAACAUGUGGUAGUGGUAACGCAUUUUACAGUGAGCAACUGAAGAACAAGUUUCAGGUCUCCAGAGAUACCUCCAGCAGUACAGUGUCUCUGCGAGGACAAAGCCUGCAGACUGAGGACACAGCUGUGUAUUAUUGUGCUCGAGGGUCACAGGGAAACAAAUCAGAGCACACCGUGUACAAAAACUCCAUCACUGUCAAACAGGCCUGUACAGAACUGUAG